rnacentral:rRNA from 1 species
AAUGGGCGAAAGCCUGAUGCAGCGACGCCGCGUGAGUGAAGAAGUAUUUCGGUAUGUAAAGCUCUAUCAGCAGGGAAGAUAAUGACGGUACCUGACUAAGAAGCCCCGGCUAACUACGUGCCAGCAGCCGCGGUAAUACGUAGGGGGCAAGCGUUAUCCGGAUUUACUGGGUGUAAAGGGAGCGUAGACGGCAUGGCAAGUCUGAAGUGAAAACCCAGGGCUCAACCCUGGGACUGCUUUGGAAACUGUCAAGCUAGAGUGCAGGAGAGGUAAGUGGAAUUCCUAGUGUAGCGGUGAAAUGCGUAGAUAUUAGGAGGAACACCAGUGGCGAAGGCGGCUUACUGGACUGUAACUGACGUUGAGGCUCGAAAGCGUGGGGAGCAAA